rnacentral:rRNA from 1 species
UACGUAGGGGGCAAGCGUUGUCCGGAAUCAUUGGGCGUAAAGAGCGCGUAGGCGGCCCGAUAAGUCCGCUGUGAAAGUCAAGGGCUUAACCCUUGAAUGCCGGUGGAAACUGUCGGGCUAGAGUCCGGAAGAGGCGAGUGGAAUUCCUGGUGUAGCGGUGAAAUGCGCAGAUAUCAGGAGGAACACCGGUGGCGAAAGCGACACACUGGAUCUUGUCUGACGCUGAGGCACGAAAGCCAGGGGAGCGAACGGG